CAGGGAGGCCUGGCAUGCUGCAAUUCAUGGGGUUGCAAAGAGUCGGACACGACUGAGCGACUGAACUGAACUGACCGGGAGUAAUCCAAGAGUCCCUCCCACCUAGCUAAAUGCAAGCUCGGACUUAGCUGCGCUCACCAGCCUCUGCUAGCUUUUCCUGCCGGCAGCUGGUUAGUGCGCAAGGACUUCUAGGGCUUGUAGUCCUGAUAGCUCCGGAGCUGGACGCGCCUGCGCGUUGGCCGCCAACUCGUUCUAAGAGCUGUGGUCCGGGCUCGGGACCGGCUGCCAUCUUAGUCGAGGGACUGAAGAGUAGCCGCCGCCCCGAGUCCCGUCUAGCAGUGUACUGUCCUUGGAGGACUGCUGCCAGCUCAGCUCUUUGCUUCUGUACAGAAUUGACUAUACUCAGAUCCUUGGAGUACUUUUUCUUUUCGUAUCCCUAGGAGCUUCCAAGUUGCAGGGAUAGUCCUUACUGUGACCUCAAAAGGUAGAGUAUGUAUUUAUAUGGCCAUCCUCAUUUUGCUAUGUAGCUAUACGCUGGUGGGGAGUUACCCUAUUGUAUGCGUGAGUCAUUUUCUUCCCAAUUUAACCUUAUUAUCCUGCCUGCUCCAUCAAAAAUUAUCUAUCCUAUGAAACUUUUUAAAGGACAUUGUGCUGUCCUAUUCCAAAGGUCAUUGCUGAUCUGAUGUGUUUAACCAUAGGAGUAAUGUGUUAAUGGAUCCUCCUUCCUUUCUCAGGUAACAUGCAUUUAACCGUGGCCUUCUGGAGACAGCGCCUUAAUCCAAAGAAGUGACUUCAAACGGUGAAAACUUCAGGUAUGGUGGCAUGCCUGUGAGAGAUAGUGGGGGUCAGAAAUGGUGCUGAGGGUGAGCGCCGGUCCUGUUAACAGCUGUGGGAAGUAUGGGGAGAGACCAGUGUUGAUGCUGGCUACAUCAGUUGGUUGAAGACAUAGUUUCCUUUUGGAUCUGAAACCCAUAGCUGCCUCUACAAGGAUUAGCCUGUGAGCUACAUUGUAUUCUUAAUUUGGGUCCUUUGACUUUUCUGUUUUUCUAGCUUCCUUAUAUAGUCAUAUACUUUUCUCACUUGUGCUGUUUUAGAAACAUUUAUCUCUAUACUUGUCCAUACAUGUGCACAUAUAUGGUUAAAAUGUGUAGGAAUUAAAAAGAAAACAAUAUAGUUCAAUGGAAAAAGAAUAGAGGACUUGGAAAGAAAAGGUCUGGGUUCUGAUUUUAUUUUUCUACUGACAAAUUUGAUUGUUGGCAAAGUAUUUAAUCUUGGCAAGACUUAGUUUAUAUAUCUGUAAAAUAGUUAUGUUGAUUUCUGCCUGCCUCCCUGGCAUUGUUGUGAGGAUCAAAUAAAAUAAUACAUAUUAAAUCUUUAGAAAAAAGU
rnacentral:lncRNA from 1 species